GACGAAGGGGGCUAGCGUUGUUCGGAAUUACUGGGCGUAAAGCGCGCGUAGGCGGCUCUUCAAGUCAGGCGUGAAAGCCCCGGGCUUAACCCGGGAAUAGCGCUUGAUACUGUUGGGCUUGAGUCCGGGAGAGGAUAGUGGAAUUCCCAGUGUAGAGGUGAAAUUCGUAGAUAUUGGGAAGAACACCGGUGGCGAAGGCGGUUCUCUGGGCCUUACCUGACGCUGAGGAGCGAAAGCGUGGGGAGCGAACAGG
rnacentral:rRNA from 1 species